CAAAAUUUGUUCCGAUUUUCAUAACAAGGUUCAGAAGCAUAUGUGUCUUGAGAGCCAUGAGCUGACACAUGGAGCUUUGAGAAGUAGAGCUUGUAUGGAGGACGUACAGGAAGCAGCAGGAAUUUUACUGCAAGUAACCUAAAGAAGAAAGAGACUACAUCCCUGGCCACAGAGUUUUUAUUGUUAAGUCAUUCCACCAAUUAAUUCCACUGACAUAGUUUUCUUCCAUCAGGUUCUCAAGUUGCAAUCUUCAGAAUGUUCAGGCAGCCUAGAGACAUCAGUAUUAGUUAUGAAUUUUCUAGACGAUGAUUACAUAGAGGUAUAAAAGGACUGUGGCCCCUAUUUUCCAUUACUGCUGUGUAAUGCAAGAUGUGCACUCUUGGUCAAGUCUGAGAAAAACAGUCACAGGGCUUGCAUUCAUAUCUCAGCCCCAUUGAUGUCCCUCACAGCUACUACUGACAAAAAUUUAUGUAAAUGAGAACAAUGGACUAGGUAAAUGGCUAUCCUGGAAAGAGCUUGUUCUUUUUUAAGGAAACAAUCCCAUUUCUUGAAUAAAUUUGUAUCCUCUCAAUUUGAGUAGCUCACAUUUAUAUCGUUGCAUAUUAAGUGUCUAUUUAACACCAGCAAAAAUUGUAUUUCUGAAGUAGUAAAUACAACGGGUUUUCUCCAGAUAUGUACAUAGCUAAAUUAAGAGGCAGAGCAAAUAAUUAAAUAGGAACUUAUGCAGGUCUUUUGCACUGUAAAAUACGAACCCCAUCUGUUAAUUACAAGUACUGGGUUUCUUUUAGCUAGGAACACUAACAGGACUACAAAGGUCCAUGGAUCAGCUGUAUAAAGAGGGAUCAGAAUAUGCACGAACAGUGAGUUACACAAGGAAACACAAGAUGGUUUUGAUGAUUCAGGGCUGACUGUGAUAUGGAAUUCAAGUCCAAUUGGCUAUUGAACAAUCUAUUGUUACUGUUACUGUUUCUUGAUAAUGUAAUUAGUUCUAUUUUUUUCACCAGAAGCACUAGUCCUGAACCACUUUUUAUGUACAGGGUGUAAGAGAUAUCCAUACAAAAAUACCUCAACCUUGAGAGCCUGCAAAGUCUUUACAAGAAUGAAAUAGGGAUAUAUGCAGUUGAUGCUGUACAAGCUGACAGAAUCAGUCAGCAACUCAAGCAGUGGACUUUGCAUUUAGUCAGGUUUUUUCUGCAGACUCUACACAGAAGCAGAGCUUUUUGUAGAACAAGGAGGAAUCAAGCAAGCAUGAGAAGUGCAAAUUAAAGCAGUGAUGUGCUACUGAAUGGUAAAUUCAGGUAAUUCUUUCUUUCCUGGGGGAAAAAAAAAAAAAGCAGCAGAGUAGAAUAGUUUUCUUUGGAAGUGACUGGAGCAAAGAACUCCAGCCUUAAAACAAAGAAACAUCUGAGAUGUAAUUAUUUAUUUCUGAAUAAGGGGUGAGGGAUGGAGGACACUGGUGGAAAUUCAAGGAAGAUUCAAUGGAGACCAAGAAAGAGGUGUUUCAAUCUGAAUUGCUUUUACCAGCUCUGACAAUGUCUGUUAUUUUCAUGGGACAUCAACUCAUUCUUGAACAACAGGGGGAGAGGAGAUAACAGAAACAUGCUAACAAUGAAGCACUUGAAAACAGGCCUCAUAAGACCAGUGUGCUAUUGUGCCAGCGCUGAGUGGAAUCUAAAUUUAGGGAUCCACAUGAGUUACUGCGCAUAAUGUCAUGGGAAUGCUGCCCAGGAACUGGAAGAGGAAGGUGUUCUAAGAGUUUCUUUUUUGUAUUGCUCCAGAUGGUCCAUGUGCUUAUGGAAACGCUAACUCUGGAAGGAACUGUCAGCUCAACCCACCCCUUUUGAGAAACUGAGAAACAAAUGUGUCGGCAAGUGUUUCAUCAUAUGAAUAACUUUUUUUAAACUGAGGGACAGUUAACUAUCAACUUUGAAGAUGAAUCCAGAUGAGUUUCUGCAAAUUUUGUGAUACAGUACUGCCCUUAGAGGAAGAAGACGUGGAACAGUGAGUGGACUUUUGGAGAUCCUAAGUUAAGGAAUUCACAUGUUCAGGAAGAGAUACUUCAUUGUCCUGCCUCCCAGCCAAGAACUUCAGAGCUACCAACUCUUCUCCUGGGCUGGCAGGGCACUGUGCACGCCCCAGGUCACCAGUGCACAGCCUUGGUGUUGGCCUAU